GACGAACGCUGGCGGCGUGCUUAACACAUGCAAGUCGAACGGUGAAGCGCCUUCCUUUUUGGUGGGUGUGGAUGAGUGGUGAACGGGUGAGUAACACGUGAGUAACCUGCCCCCUUCUUCUGGAUAACCGCAUGAAAGUGUGGCUAAUACGGGAUAUUCUGGGUCUGUCGCAUGAUGGGUCUGGGAAAGAUAUUGUUUCGGUGGGGGAUGGGCUCGCGGCCUAUCAGCUUGUUGGUGGGGUGAUGGCCUACCAAGGCGGUGACGGGUAGCCGGCCUGAGAGGGUGGACGGUCACACUGGGACUGAGACACGGCCCAGACUCCUACGGGAGGCAGCAGUGGGGAAUAUUGCGCAAUGGGCGCAAGCCUGAUGCAGCGACGCCGCGUGAGGGAUGGAGGCCUUCGGGUUGUGAACCUCUUUCGCCAGUGAAGCAGGCCUGCCUCGUUUGUGGGUGGGUUGACGGUAGCUGGAUAAGAAGCGCCGGCUAACUACGUG
rnacentral:rRNA from 1 species